CCUACGGGGGGCUGCAGUGGGGAAUAUUGGACAAUGGGCGAAAGCCUGAUCCAGCCAUGCCGCGUGUGUGAAGAAGGCCUUCGGGUUGUAAAGCACUUUCAGUGGGGAAGAAAGCCUUGGGGCUAAUACCCUCGAGGAAGGACAUCACCCACAGAAGAAGCACCGGCUAACUCCGUGCCAGCAGCCGCGGUAAUACGGAGGGUGCGAGCGUUAAUCGGAAUUACUGGGCGUAAAGCGCGCGUAGGCGGUCUGAUAAGCCGGUUGUGAAAGCCCCGGGCUCAACCUGGGAACGGCAUCCGGAACUGUCAGGCUAGAGUGAAGGAGAGGAAGGUAGAAUUCCCGGUGUAGCGGUGAAAUGCGUAGAGAUCGGGAGGAAUACCAGUGGCGAAGGCGGCCUUCUGGACUGACACUGACGCUGAGGUGCGAAAGCGUGGGUAGCAAACAGGAUUAGAUACCCGGGUAGUC
rnacentral:rRNA from 1 species